CUAAUAUUUUGCCUAUAUUUCUUUUUAAUUCUCAUUUCCUGUAGAUCUCUAGCACAGUGAAGAUUUGCCAUCAUGUUGCUUGUAACUGCAAAGAAAAGAAAUUCACCAAAACCCUCUUACAUGACCGCUGCAUGCAGGAUGCAGGACUGGUGAUCCUGAGCUUCAGCACUAUUUUGUUCAACUGGGAUUUGAUUUAAUUCCCUCUCCUCCGUCACACUGUUUCUGAUUGGUGAGUGACAUCUCUUGCUGCCGCCUUGUUCACCUGUAGAAAGUGUCAGCUUGGUUUUGAAGGGUGGAACAAAAGUUUUAACAGCUUUGCCUGACUUGCACGAACUUCUUGUUUCCUCGCUAUCCUUGGCCACGGCCUUAUGUGGAGUAAAAAGCCCUGAAGCACCACUUGAAGACUGCCGUAGGGCACAGUGCUGAAAAACGGCAGGUAUAGAUUUAAAUCCUUUCAAGUCUUGAUCAGGAAGAGUAAGUGUAGGGUUCCUGACUUCUUGUCGUUCCUUAGUAGUCCUACAGAUGAAAACAUAGUGGCUUCAGCAUGUUGACAAAAAGCCUCAUCAGUUCCAACAUUCUUAAUUUAGUAAAUAUGACUGUCAACACUAUAUUGAUAAAAAGAUGAGGUUUUAGACUUUUUUUUUCCUUAAAUUGAAUGCUUAAUUUGUUUCUAAUUAAAAAAAAAACAAAUGAAAGUGUAAACUUUGCUCCUCAUCUCAUUGGUCUCCUGCACCAACAUGUGUUGCACGGUCAUUUCAUAUGUUUAUUUUGAAAUGAAAUUAUUAAUCUUUAAGAAAAUUGGGAUCGGAAUUACUAUCAUAUGUCUUUUAAAGUUACAAAGACUUGCAAGAAAUUGCGUUAGAAAAACUCUACAAUACAUGAGAAGUUUCUCACCCCAAAGGUUGACAAGUUACUGGUUUUAAAGGAACGUGGUACAUAAAUUUUCUUCUGUCUUUGAAAAUGCCUGUAAGGUAAUUAGGAAAAAAAAGUUUGAAGUGGUACAUUACAUGGAUGGAUAUCUACAGCACAUUUCUUCUAUAUUCAUGUUAUAAAUACACAGAUUUCCAGAUUGGAUUUAAACAGAUUUGUUACAUUUGGUUAUAUAAACCCAAUAAAGAAAGAAAAAGCAACUGUCUUCAAUAUUACUGAAUCUGACAAAAAAUGAGGUACAGAUCUGUCUCAUAAUCUGACGGCAAAUAGAAAUAUUAUUUCUAUUUGCCAUUUCAGUGACUAGCUUCCUUUGGGAUGCAAGCUGUUUUGCUAAUAUUUGUUUGAUAUAAGCAAUAUAAUGACCCUGACAAAACAAAGGAUAUUACAGGUUGCUACAGACCACUGGAAGACCUUUAAAAGAGACACUUAAAAAAUGGAAGUGAAGACACAACAAGUCAGGCACUGGAAGAGAAGACUUCUACAGGCUCUCAAGAAAUUUGACUGUGGGUAAAAGCAAGGAAAAUAACAGAAUUCUCAGUAGUCUAGUGACAGGUCCUUGUACAUUCUAUCAUCAAUGCAAAAUUCAUUUCCAAGGCACGAUAUUUAGUAAUCAUAUGUUGUCCAAUACAUAAACCUGAGAAAUUAAAAUGUGAAGUUAUCCCCA